AUUGAACGCUGGCGGCAGGCCUAACACAUGCAAGUCGAGCGGAUGAGUGGAGCUUGCUCCAUGAUUCAGCGGCGGACGGGUGAGUAAUGCCUAGGAAUCUGCCUGGUAGUGGGGGACAACGUUUCGAAAGGAACGCUAAUACCGCAUACGUCCUACGGGAGAAAGCAGGGGACCUUCGGGCCUUGCGCUAUCAGAUGAGCCUAGGUCGGAUUAGCUAGUUGGUGAGGUAAAGGCUCACCAAGGCGACGAUCCGUAACUGGUCUGAGAGGAUGAUCAGUCACACUGGAACUGAGACACGGUCCAGACUCCUACGGGAGGCAGCAGUGGUGAAUAUUGGACAAUGGGCGAAAGCCUGAUCCAGCCAUGCCGCGUGUGUGAAGAAGGUCUUCGGAUUGUAAAGCACUUUAAGUUGGGAGGAAGGGCAGUAAGUUAAUACCUUGCUGUUUUGACGUUACCGACAGAAUAAGCACCGGCUAACUUCGUGCCAGCAGCCGCCGUAAUAC
rnacentral:rRNA from 1 species